rnacentral:tRNA from 1 species
UCCACAGUAGCUGCUCAGUGGUAGAGCAAUCGGCUGUUAACCGAUCGGUCGUAGGUUCGAAUCCUACCUGUGGAGCCA